GACGAACGCUGGCGGCGUGCUUAACACAUGCAAGUCGAACGGAAAGGCCCUGCUUUUGUGGGGUGCUCGAGUGGCGAACGGGUGAGUAACACGUGAGUAACCUGCCCUUGACUUUGGGAUAACUUCGGGAAACUGGGGCUAAUACCGGAUAGGAGCUCCUGCUGCAUGGUGGGGGUUGGAAAGUUUCGGCGGUUGGGGAUGGACUCGCGGCUUAUCAGCUUGUUGGUGGGGUAGUGGCUUACCAAGGCUUUGACGGGUAGCCGGCCUGAGAGGGUGACCGGCCACAUUGGGACUGAGUUACGGCCCAGACUCCUACGGGAGGCAGCAGUGGGGAAUAUUGCACAAUGGGCGGAAGCCUGAUGCAGCAACGCCGCGUGCGGGAUGACGGCCUUCGGGUUGUAAACCGCUUUCGCCUGUGACGAAGCGUGAGUGACGGUAAUGGGUAAAGAAGCACCGGCUAACUACGUG
rnacentral:rRNA from 1 species